GUGCCUUACACAUAAUGGCCUGCAAGGUGGCUUCUAGAAUUUUCCCCAUUAUCCAGAUGAUGAAACAGAAGCUCUGCAGAACUGAAAGGCUCGUUAGUGGUUGUGGAGGAAUUUGAGCUGAGAUCCGGUGAACCACACAACCAGUGCUUUAAUCCCCUACAUUCCGGGACCCCUCCUCUAUGGGUGGCAAAGCUAGAAUUUCUGCUUUAGGAACCUAGCUCCUGAGUCUGGAAUUGGGGACUCAGGGAGUCUCACAGCCCAUAGGGCUUAGAGAGUCAGUGUUGCCCCCUCCUCUGAGUAGGCCAGGUGAGGUUCAAGUGAUGACCUGAUAAAUAUGUCACUCAGUGCCACUGGCUCCUGCUCUAAAGGGGUGUGGGUCCACCCACAGUUGUAGCUGGGGCACAUUUUGUUUCGACCCCAUAAGGGGACACACCACCCCAGUGCCACUUUGCCCCCUUUUCCUUAGGACAAGGAGCAGAAGGGUAAGUGACAUGCCAGAACCAUCUGCCCAGCUCCUAAUAAUAAAUCCUGAGUGGAACAAGUUCCGGGCAAACAUUGCUUUAAAGGGGGGGCUCUUCUCACACCCAGGCAGCCAUCUGCCUCCUCCUCACGUGCCAAGCUGUG
rnacentral:lncRNA from 1 species